rnacentral:sRNA from 1 species
AAAAAAGCUGUCUAGGGUUCCGUUGGUUGUUUGUCCUACCAAGUCUGGUCCGAGAGAGAGCGUAUAGCAGCACUCCGCUAUAUACACGGAAGGAAAAAAGCCUGGGAGAU